rnacentral:rRNA from 1 species
CAUGCCUUACACAUGCAAGUCGAACGGCAGCCAUGGAGGAGCUUGCUCCUCUGAUGGCGAGUGGCGAACGGGUGAGUAAAGCAUCGGAACGUACCGUGUAAGUGGGGGAUAACGUAGCGAAAGUUACGCUAAUACCGCAUACGCACUGAGGUGGAAAGCAGGGGAUCGCAAGACCUUGCGCUAUACGAGCGGCCGAUGUCAGAUUAGCUAGUUGGUAGGGUAAAGGCCUACCAAGGCGACGAUCUGUAGCGGGUCUGAGAGGAUGAUCCGCCACACUGGGACUGAGACACGGCCCAGACUCCUACGGGAGGCAGCAGUGGGGAAUUUUGGACCAAUGGGGGAAACCCUGAUCCAGCCAUGCCGCGUGAGUGAAGAAGACCUUCGGGUUGUAAAGCUCUUUCGGCUGGGAAGAAAUCGCACAGGCUAAUACUCUGUGUGGAUGACGGUACCAGCAUAAGAAGCACCGGCUAACUACGUG